GAUGAACGCUGACAGAAUGCUUAACACAUGCAAGUCUACUUGAUCCUUCGGGUGAUAGUGGCGGACGGGUGAGUAACGCGUAAAGAACUUGCCCUGCAGUCUGGGACAACAUUUGGAAACGAAUGCUAAUACCGGAUAUUAUGUGAGUUUCGCAUGAAAUUCAUAUGAAAGCUAUAUGCGCUGCAGGAGGGCUUUGCGUCCUAUUAGCUAGUUGGUGAGGUAACGGCUCACCAAGGCGGUGAUAGGUAGCCGGCCUGAGAGGGUGAACGGCCACAAGGGGACUGAGACACGGCCCUUACUCCUACGGGAGGCAGCAGUGGGGAAUAUUGGACAAUGGACCAAAAGUCUGAUCCAGCAAUUCUGUGUGCACGAUGAAGUUUUUCGGAAUGUAAAGUGCUUUCAGUUGGGACGAAGUAAGUGACGGUACCAACAGAAGAAGCGACGGCUAAAUACGUGCCAGCAGCCGCCGUAA
rnacentral:rRNA from 1 species